rnacentral:rRNA from 1 species
UUUCGCAAUGCCCGAAAGGGUGACGAAGCGACGCCGCGUGAGUGAGGAAGGCCUUCGGGUUGUAAAGCUCUGUCAGGAGUUAAGAAAUAUAAGUGUGUUAAUACCACAUUUAUUUGACGAAGGCUCCAAAGGAAGCCACGGCUAACUCUGUGCCAGCAGCCGCGGUAAUACAGAGGUGGCAAGCGUUGUUCGGAAUUAUUGGGCGUAAAGAGCACGUAGGUGGGUUUGUAAGUCAGAUGUGAAAGCCUUCAGUUCAACGGAAGAAUUGCAUCUGAAACUGCGAGUCUUGAGUGUAGGAGGGGAGAAUGGAACUUCUGGUGGAGCGGUGAAAUGCGUAGAUAUCAGAAGGAACGCCGGCGGCGAAAGCGAUUCUCUGGCCUAUUACUGACACUCAGUGUGCGAAAGCUAGGGGAGCAAACGGGAUUAGAUACCCCGGUAGUCCUAGCUGUAAACGAUGGGCACUAAGUAGAGGGGUUUUA